rnacentral:lncRNA from 1 species
GAAUCGAGUUUUACGAGUAUGUAGUUGGCAGAAGUACCCUUCCCCUUAACUCAAACCCCACCACCACCGUGUUGGCCUAAAAAAGCCAAUAACUGAAAUAUUCGUUUUGUUUCCUAUGUACCAACUCAGAAACAACGAUAAACAAUCAUACAAGCGUGUGAACAACUUAAGGAAGAAGAAUGGGAAACAUCUAGCAUGCUAUAAUUUAAAAGAAACUCAGUUGACUGGAUCCUUCUUUCUUUUGUAUUCUUCUAUAUAUUCCCAUGCACUUGCUUUUAAUGUUCAUGAAGAUGAUGCAUUGGCACUAGACUUGUUUCUUUAAAUGUCUUUUUUUGGGGAUAUCUAUGUGUGAACAUGCAGUUUUAAAGUUCUUGUCACAAGGUAUGUGAUGACCUUUCCCCAAAAUAGAAAUCAACGAAUCCAAGAACUCAGAGAAGAGAGACUAAUCUAUUUUCAUUAUGGUUGUGUUAUGGUACUUGCGCCGACCAUGCACUACUGUUUUUCAUGUCCAUUUUCAGAAGUUAAAUUUGUAGGCCAUGCAUAUAAUGAGUUAUCCAAUCGAAAUGUAGCUAGCAUAUAUAUGCAUAACGUACAAAGUACAACACCCCCUCCCCUCACCCCCAAAACCCAACCCCUUCCUCCCUCCACCUUCUACCCUACCGGGUCGCAUUACUCUUAAUGGAUGUUAUACUAGUCGUCUGGCACCUUCGUAGAUGUUGUACCUUUACUCUUAAUGGAUGUUAUCGCGUUGACACAAUUUGGGGUGCUAAGUUUCUGCUGUCAAAGAGGCGAGCGAGUCUUAAUCCGUGUUCGACGCUACUUGACUAGCUCAAACGAAAUUGGAAUGAGUAAAUGAUCGCAUUCAAC